rnacentral:lncRNA from 1 species
GUUAGACAUUUUAUAUAUCUGUUAAAUAUAAUGUGAUCAUUUUCCAAUUAUUUGUCAGUAAAUAUUAUGGUAGAUGAAUUUGUGUGAAACAUGGAAACAGACACACAUAUCCAAUUCAAUAAAUGUCUCUUUGCUUAGUCACAGGAACUGGUUCAGUUGAACCAGCUGGAUUUUGACGAAAGUUUGACUUGGCAAUAUGAAUGUGUCCAAAAGGAUGGGGAUUUUAUCCCAUUUCCCAGAAAGCAUGCAGAGUGUGAACUUAUAAGAAUGGAAAGUGAUGAUCAUUACUACCCGAAGUACAUGUAUGAAGACACAAAUUGAUGUGAAUAUACUAUGUGUACAACCAGAGAUAUGAAAAAUUGUGCUCUAUAUGUGUAAUAAGAAUUGUAAUGCAUUCUGCUGUCAUAUAUAAAUAAAAAAUUUACAUAAAAAUGAAAAGAGUUAAGAUGAGGAUGAAAUUUACAAUGAACACACAUACACACACAAAACAAACAAAAGGAAG